CCCGCUGAACUUAAGCAUAUCAAUAAGCGGAGGAAAAGAAACUAACAAGGAUUCCCCUAGUAACUGCGAGUGAAGCGGGAAGAGCUCAAAUUUAAAAUCUGACAGUCUCUGAUUGUUCGAGUUGUAAUCUAGAGAAGCAUUAUCCGCACUGGACUGUGUACAAGUCUUCUGGAAUGGAGCAUCGUAGAGGGUGAGAAUCCCGUCUUUGACACAGACUACCAGAGCUUUGUGAUGUGCUCUCAAAGAGUCGAGUUGUUUGGGAAUGCAGCUCUAAAUGGGUGGUAAAUUCCAUCUAAAGCUAAAUAUUGGCGAGAGACCGAUAGCGAACAAGUACCGUGAGGGAAAGAUGAAAAGAACUUUGGAAAGAGAGUUAAACAGUACGUGAAACUGUUGAAAGGGAAACGCUUGAAGUCAGUCCUGUUGGUCAGGAAUCAACCUUGCUUUUUUGCUUGGUGCACUUUCUGUUCCAACAGGUCAGCAUCAAUUUUGACCAGUGGGAAAAAGUUGAGUGAAUGUGGCAUCUUUAGAUGUGUUAUAGCACUUGAUUGCAUGCAUUGGGUGGCAUUGAGGUAUUCAGCACGCCGAAAGUCCGCAUUUUUACAUCACGCUCGUGCAUAGUAUGCUGGCAUAAUGGCUAUAAUCAACCAGUCUAGAAACACGA
rnacentral:rRNA from 1 species